UGCAGUCGAGCGGUGCAGAUCUAGCUUGCUGGAUGCUGACGAGCGGCGGACGGGUGAGUAAUGCAUAGGAAUCUGCCCGAUAGUGGGGGAUAACCUGGGGAAACCCAGGCUAAUACCGCAUACGUCCUACGGGAGAAAGGGGGCUCCGGCUCCCGCUAUGGGAUGAGCCUAUGUCGGAUUAGCUAGUUGGUGAGGUAACGGCUCACCAAGGCCACGAUCCGUAGCUGGUCUGAGAGGAUGAUCAGCCACAUCGGGACUGAGACACGGCCCGAACUCCUACGGGAGGCAGCAGUGGGGAAUAUUGGACAAUGGGGGCAACCCUGAUCCAGCCAUGCCGCGUGUGUGAAGAAGGCCCUCGGGUUGUAAAGCACUUUCAGCGAGGAAGAACGCCUAGCGGUUAAUACCCGCUAGGAAAGACAUCACUCGCAGAAGAAGCACCGGCUAACUCCGUGCCAGCAGCCGCGGUAAUACGGAGGGUGCAAGCGUUAAUCGGAAUUACUGGGCGUAAAGCGCGCGUAGGUGGCUUGAUAAGCCGGUUGUGAAAGCCCCGGGCUCAACCUGGGAACGGCAUCCGGAACUGUCAAGCUAGAGUGCAGGAGAGGAAGGUAGAAUUCCCGGUGUAGCGGUGAAAUGCGUAGAGAUCGGGAGGAAUACCAGUGGCGAAGGCGGCCUUCUGGACUGACACUGACACUGAGGUGCGAAAGCGUGGGUAG
rnacentral:rRNA from 1 species